UCAAGAUUUUGUAUCUGGUGAUCUUGCAGA
rnacentral:piRNA from 1 species